rnacentral:tRNA from 1 species
GCGCGGAUGGUGGAAUUGGUAGACACGAGGGACUUAAAAUCCCUUGCCCUAAACCGGCGUGCGGGUUCGAUUCCCGCUCUGCGCACCA